AGUAAUAUGGAACCCUUGCAAUAUAAUGAUAAUAGAGCUCUUGCUUUAUAUAUGACAACAAACCAGAACAGUCAUUGCAACUUUCCACUCUCUUUAAAACAAGCAAACAGCACAGAGAAUUUCCCAUUUCUGGCUGAGCACUAUCUUCUUCACAGACACCUUGAAACAGAAGGGGAGUUUCUGGUGUGUGGAAAGGCAGGAGAGGAGGCAGACCCAGCUUAGGGCUGGCUCACCUUUUUCCCUUCCAAAUAGUUUUGAUUCACCUCUAACCUCACCCCUGCACACAGCAGUGUGGAUAUCUCCAAACUCUCCUCCUCCAGAUGGAACAGCCAGCCUGGGUUCUGCUUCCCCUAAAAUAAAUCCCAUCUUGGUUUCCUAAGUGCCAGCAGGAGUAACUCUCCCUUCCUCCACCUCUGGAGCUUGGGAGGACAUAUAGGAGAGAGAGAAAACCAAGGAGGAGGAAAAGAAAGGCCAGGAAACCUGAGAUGAGCCUUUGGCAUUAUGCUGCGUAUAAACUGCGUUUAUUUCACUCAAUACUGAAACUUCCACUGAGCUCAUAUCAGGACUUCAUUUAAAGACACCAAGAGAACAAGAAAGAAGGAACUACCAUGACUGCAGGGGUUGUACUAAUGCUGUUAUGUGUCUGCAUCCCAAGUUUGAAAUCAAUUCCUGUCUGCAACUUUUUCAGCAGUCAGACUGAGUUAGGAUGGUUGAAUAAACCCACAAAUGUCAAUAUGCAGAUCCAUAUUAUGUUGCUGAAGAGCUGCAUUAUUUCCGCCCAGCCCCACCUCUUCACUGACUGAUUUAUCUACAGCAGCAAAAGGCACUGUCAAUAAACCACAGAUUCUAUAGGUUAUCCUGUGGUCAUGCAUUCGUUCGUGGCUGCUGGAAGAAAACAAAGAUGAAAUAAGAAGUGAAAAUAACUUGGAACAUAGCUGAUGUCCUCCAGUCGUUCCCAGCUGGGUCUCCUUCAGCCAAAGCUGCUGGGAACUUGAGGAGUGAACUGAAAAAUGCUCUUUGCUAUCCACCUUAAGUGGAAAUGAUUCAAACCUGUUUUAUUCAGCACAGCAUGCUCUCUCCUUUACCCCUAGGAGGAGCAUGUUUUUAAGGAUGGGUGUUGGGUGACAUCACUUAUUUCCUGGCUUUGGAAGACAGCAUCAAGGUUAAAGACACAUCUUUUAAGACUUAAUUAGAAGCAUCAGGAGGAAGACAGAGUGAUCCUGCCUUGCAUCUUGCCAAGCCAUAGCACGCUUCACUUUCACAGUGCACACAGAUCUGAUCUCGGCUUGUUUGCUCUGAAGAUAAUAGUGUUUGAAGUGAACUGUGAUCAGUGUUCGUGUUGAGAGGAAAGUUGGCUGGAAGUAAGGAUGUGACUGAACCACUGUAUUUUCAGAAAAAGUUGGGUUUUUUCCAUGGAAUACAGAUUCAAACUCCCCGUGCCCGUUCCUUGUGGGGAAGAUUGUUCCACCUGCCAAAAAACCUCAGGAGUUUAAUCUGAUUUUCAUCUUCUCAAGCUUCUCAUGGAGAAAUGACAGCUGGAGAGACCCACUGGGAAGUGAACAAGGAAGAUGGAGGAGCAAUGACAGAAACAAUCCCACCCCUGACAUUGUUUCACUUUGCUAUUCCAUUUCUCUUCCCUCAUUUUUGCUUCCCCUUUUCUCUGAUCAAGUUUUUCUUGGAGUUUAAUUUUUUUUCAGUGACAGCUCUUUUAUUUUUCUUUUUCAGAACAAUUCUCCAGUGUUAACAAAUUUGU